rnacentral:ncRNA from 1 species
AACCGCCGUAUACUGAACAGUACGUACGGUGGUGUGAGAGGUCGGGAGCAAAGGCUCCCUCCUACUCGAU